GUUUCUUUUUGUCUCUAUCUCUUUUUCCCCCUCUCUCCCUCUGUUCAGCAGUCCAUCCAUCUGUCUGUCUAUUGUAUUUAAAGAUAAUGAUCCUGAUAUUGUUCAGUUCAAUGGGAGUCAGUAUGAGUCAGAGGACCUGGAUUCCAAUCCUCUUAUCCAUAGUGCCUAUGGUUUUAGGCAUCUAUUUAUUGUGAGAGCCAAAUAAAUAACUCAACCUAUGCCACCACGCCCAACUUCCCAGGCAAUACCUAUUGUGCUUUGCAGUUUGGGUCUGGCCAGCACAACUUCAGACUUGCGCCUGCUUGGAGAUCUGGUAGAUAUAUCUGUUGGACUCGGUCAGAGCAACAGAGCUGCAGGCUGAUAUCCUGGUUACUCACGCCUGAGCCUGGGAUCACAGAGGAUUAACUGCUGUAUGAUCCAAGAAUUGACAUUAUAUUCCACCCUGGAGAAGAGGGUUGACAAUCAAGAAGUCACAUGGUAGCCGCAACAGUAUGAUAGUCCUGGAAUCUAAAAACAAUACUAGUUAUCAAAUCCCAAAAUUGGUAUCAUCAGAACUAGCUACAUUUUACCAGGGGUUUUUGUUUUUGCUUCUUUGGAAAAUAGAGGACAAUCAAGUUCUAGACUCAUGGACGUUGAUAAAACUGGUGCCCAGUUUAAAAGGAAUCUUGAUUUCCUGAGGUUUCGUGUCAAUUAUCAUCCAGCUCCCCUUCACUCUUUCUACUUCGUUAGGUUUAAGUAAUUCUGAACCUCAUAGAAAGUAUUUUCCUAUAAAUUAUGAUGGCACCAAAGUAUUUGCUUCAUUGAAUUAGGAAAAGACAUAAUGGAGCUUGGGCUCCUGGCAUGUACUCCAUCUAAAAUGCCUUCCAUCUGGUUUACUCAGUAUAUGUAGGAAAUAAAAAGAACAUGUCAGUGAUACAUGUAUAUUUGGUUUUGCAUACAACCUUUUUCGUUGUUGUUAUUAGCUUUCCCUUGGCAUUCUUCCAAGAUAUCUUACAAGUUAUCAAUCUUGCCAGGACAGGCAGUGUUGUCUGACCACUUCCUCUUUGCAAUUAAAGACUGUAACCACUCGCUUACGCACAGACUGAGACCAUCAUCCCUAACCCCAAAGGAGGCCAGAAACUCCCAGCAAUUCCCACUGAAGGAGGAGGACCAAGCUGAAAACAACACACUGUGUAUUUUAAGGUUGAAACUCAAGCUGCGACUGAAAGGGCUGGGAGCACCCAUCUACACCUUGCUUUUCUUCAUCCUGUCAUUUCCUUGGGUUUUAAUAGCUACGGAGCAAACAGUAUAAUUGCAGCAUGUUUAUAAAUACUUUAUCUAUAUGUUGAUUUUUUUAUGGGGCCAUAUUUCUAAUAUUUAUUAUCAAAUCACUAGCUUGAACUGGAGCAAAAAGACAACUCCUUUACCCAACCUCCCUCCCCACCGCCUUAAAAAACCUCAAAGAAAACCAACAUCAACAGCAACCUGGCUUUAUUUGCAGGGAGCCCAACAAAUAACCUGGCCUGGUGUUGGUUGCCAUGAAGGUAUAUGUUUCCGGUCUUGUUCCUAGAGUUGGUUAGCUGCUCCACAAAUAAAACUUGCCCUAGAUGCACAGUGGGCAGGUUUUGUUCACAUAGGAAAACUGCCAGUUUGGUGACACAGAUAAAAGCCAGGUCACUGUUGGUGUGGUGAGGUUUUUUUUGUUUUUUUGUUUUAGUUUGCCUUUUAUUGUCACAGAAUCUUAGAAUAUUAAAAAUAAGAAAGAACGCUGGGAAAUCAUGGAGGUCAACCUUCCCUUUUGUCAUCUCUCUGUGCACUACUGUGUUAUCCCUUUCUAGGUUGGGAGUGUGAGUUAAAUCUCCUAGAUUACUGCAUCUUUCCUUCUUUCUUGGAGGUUUAAACAAAAAAUAGGGAAGUAGGACAAACAUAUAGUAAUGCCUAUUGCGGGUAUGAGAGGGCUGAGGAGCUGGGGUUGAUUUCAGUUGGAGAUAGGAAGGUCAAGCUAUACUGCUUCAGGAGCAUCCAACCAAGCAGGAAGGCACACACACACACACACACACACACACACA